rnacentral:lncRNA from 1 species
UCUUAAUUGAUAUUCAGUUGGCAAACAAAUGCUAAAAUGGCCGUUUUGGGGUCUGUCAAUAGAAUGGUAGUUUGAAAUGUUUCCAAAAUCGGCAAAAAGAUCAGAUUGUAUAUCCAACAUGAAUUCAGGUGGUGGAAUUUCUUCCUUUUGUGGCUCAGAACUUGGGAUAGCUAAAGUAGAUGGAUAAUUUGGUAGAGUGUCUACUUCAGCUUCGUGGGUUUCAUCAUGAAGGGUAUUAUCUAUCUCAGCUUCUAGGAUUCUAUCUAGGAUCACUCUAGCGUCAUUAGUAGGGAUGCGAAAGAAAGAACCACUAGACAUUGUAUGUAGCAUUUGUUUAUGAUCUUUCUGAAGACCUCAAAAAAAGUGAAAUAAAAGAACAGGGUCUUCAAGAUUAAGGUUUGGACCAGAUUCUAAAAGAUCAGAAAAACAUUUCCAGGAUUUUCCCAAAGUUUCAUUAUCUUUUUGUUUAAAAGAUAGGACUUCGAGUCUAAGGUCGCCGAUACGGCCAAGGGAAUAAAAAUCUAGGCAAAAGUUGGCUCGUAAAACUCCCCAUUCACCUCGUUGUUGACUUACCUUCUGAUUAUACCAUUGUCUAGUGUAACACCCUAAAAAAUUAUUUCUUUGAAAAUAGAGCUAAAAUAAUUUAUUUUGUAUUUUCGUACUCAUGAAAAUAUAGGAAAAAUAAUAUUUUUCAUUUAAUUAAAAUUUAUCAUAGGGUGUAGCAACUUGUUGUGCAUUCAUAUUGGAGCAUUAUUUUCAUUGUAUUGUGUGGAUUUGAUUAAAGGUAAGUUAAACUGAUUUUAAAAUGAUUUUUCAAACUUGUUUUUGAAAUGGCCUUGAAACAAAAGAAAAUAAAAAGAAAAAAAAAGGAGACAGCUCCCUGGGUCUGGCCGAGGCCCGCUUCCCUUUUCCCUCUGGCCUGCUUCCCCUCCCCCGCGGCCCGCUCCCCUCUUUGGCCCAGUACGCGCAACCGGCCCAGCUCCUGGCCUACCCCGCGCCCUCUCCUUCUCUCUUUCUCUGACCAGUGGACCCCACCCGACAGCCAGCCUUCUUCAACCCCAAGUCGGAGUCGUGCUGGACUCUCGACCGGGUGUCAAAACCCGAUACGCACGGGAUUCCUUGCCAUCCACGGUGAACCGAGCCCUAUAAAACUCCCAAAUCCACCCCGCAACACCCCUUUGCAUCCAUGUUGCGAAACCAAGCCCUAGGUCGCCGUGUUCUCUUGAGUUGGAUCUCGGCGAGGCCGACCUUGUUCUCGACCGCGGCAAGCCCUCUUCGCUCUCCCUCGGCUCCAGAUUAGGCCCUAGAUGAGUUCGGCACGAGAUUCUCCUCCGCCCGGUGUAUUCUUUUUGCGUUCUAGUGGCCGGAAUCGCUCAAACCGAGAACUCCGGCGAGCCUCCAAUGGCGCCGCCGCGCUGGAGCUCCACCCGGCGGCCGACCCCUGCCGUGACCUCCUUGGGACGCUGCGGACCGUCCGAUCAAGCACCAGCGAACGAGAUUAGAAGGUAACGGUUCGGUGUAACUCUUGCUAAAGAACCCCUGCUCUUUUUAAGAAUAAACCCGCAGUCCAAAGCGGAUUUCAAAAAUACGCUUUCUCUUUUAGAAAACGGAAAACAACCAGAUUGACUCCGAGAAUACGUUUUCUUGUAUUUACAAAACUGCCACUGAUUUUAUCUAGCUCAUAAAAUAUUCAUCUUAAUUCCGUUUUUGUCCAUUCAAAUUGCGUUGAAUUCAUAUUAAUGAGCUCUACAUGUUAGUAAAAUUGUUUACUCAGUUUGAAACUUUUUAAUUUCCUGGUACUAUUAAAUUAAUUAUUUCUCUAUAGGAAAUCUUAGAAAAUUCAUAUCUUUCACAUUUUAAAUCCGAUUUUCGUGAACUUUACGUUUGUGUGAUCGUGGCGCUGCGUAGAUUAUUUUCAUAAACUUUUAUAUUUGUUUUACCACUGUUUGGUGUAAUGUUCUAAUUAUAUCUUGUUUGCUUCGUGUAUGAUUGUCUACAUUGGAUUGCGUGUUGUUGAUCGAUGAUUGGGAUUAGACGGUGAGCUGUACGUUGGUGAUCAAGACCAAGCUUUUGAGGACCAGCAGGCUCAGGAGAGCUUUGAUCAAGGCAAGUAUAACUUGGGACUAUCCUUGUUACCUAUACACAAUUAAUACAAUAUUUAUCAUAUGCAUGUGUCCACCUUGAUGACCUUAGCAAAAUCAUAGAUGAUUGUUAUCCUAAAUUCCUUGUUACCUAUUUGGAUAUGCAUUUGGGUAGUUCUUGCUAGUGCUUGAUUAAUAAUCCAUGAUCUUGUAACAUGAAUAUUUGAAUAUACAAUAAACAAUAAAAUAAGCUUUCUAGCAACUUGAAUAUAAAGGGUGGAAAGAACUCUAGCUUUUGCUGGAUUGAUCUUGACCCUCCAUAAGGACUUAUCCCUUGGCAAAAGCUGGGACAACUCGUACAACCAUGAGGGCUAUAUGGCUCUGGCUUUAGUCAAGUAUGAGUAAGCUUUUCUAGCUUGUUAGAGGUUACCCGAAAGGGCGGAGGGGCUGAACCGUUUUGGGUAUAGUGCGAGCCCCUGUCCCUAUGUGUAUAGGCUGCGCGUCAUUGUGCCAUUCGGAAGGGGGGUAUCUAUAUCUGCGCGCAAAGGAAACCUUGCGGCCCUAACUUGCUAGACGAACCUUUGAAAGACUUCAUAGUGAACCCUGCCGGCUUUCCUUGGAAGUGAGCUAAGAGGUCGACGGGCCUCGGGCGAAAGGGUAAAUCAUGACUCAUGGGUAAAGAUGUACAACCUCUGCAGAGUGUUAAAUCUGGUAUACUAGCCGUGCCCACGGAUACGGGCGGCCCGGAAAACUGACGGAAUAGACGGACACUGAAGAACGUGAAUAAUGAUAAUAAAUGAUGGUUUAUUAUGUUGUUUAUAUGUGUUAUUCUUAAUUCUUGUAUACAUUGAUCAUGUGGUUAUGGAAUCUAUUAUACUACCUUGACAUUUGCUAUCCAAUGAUUAAACAUGCUAUCAACUAUUAAAAGCUAAAUGCAGUCAAACCAGUGUCAGCUAUUUGAGCCUCAUGAACCCCUAGUUAUACUUGUUGAGUACGAUAUGUGCUCACUCUUGCAAUUUCCCCCCACACCUCAGGAGAAGUUUUGGGCUUGUGAUCAACCAGUCAGUUUGAUCCUGUGGAGAGGAGUUAAUACCCGAAGUUUGGAGUUGUCUAUCCGCUGUUUGAUACUAAAGGUUAUUCCUUUUAUAUUAAGUACGUUAUAUAUUUAUGCAUUGUCUUUUGAUAUUACCCCUUAUUUGUAGAGAUUUGACUUCUAAAACUCACAAAUGGUGCAUAUCUGGUUUUGUCCUUAAAAUCGGGUAUUACAAAGUGGUAUCAGAGCAAUGCUGGCUGUAGGACGCAAGCCUAGUUAGAAAUUUGUCGUCUUAAGGUUUUGGAAUUGUCAUAAAAUCAUUGCUCUAUAAACCUUUGUAUUUUUAUCCAUACUAUAUCUCUAUCCUUGCCAUUUGUCUCUACCUUGUUGCUUAUUUUAAAAGUCCUUGUUCUCACCUUCACUCCUUGAUUUGGUAUGCUAUUAGAACCUUUUCUUACCACCUUCUCGCGUCUUUGAAAUAUAAGUUUUAGGAUCUUUGCCCUUUAUAUGAAGAGAACGAUAGUAUCGCAAGAUGAGUGACGUGUGAACCUUCAAUGCUUAAUUGGUCUGUUAUUAUGUUUAUGCUUGAUUUGGAUCUUUGUAAUGAUUGCAAUGAUCUUGUGGAAUUACUUCACAAUUUCAUUUAGUUUAUAGGUCUAAGGCAUAAGGAUUAAUGAAAUACGUAGUUGGGUUUGGCUAUCUCUUGUUUCUAUCCCUUGCUGAUUUCUGGUGCAGUCUGCGAUGAUUCUGGUGUAUCUCAAGUUUUGUUCAUGCAAAGUCUAUCAACUUUUUCUGGGAACAACUAGACUUCAAGAUCUUUCUCUGACCGCAAGAAUCACCCUCAUAGCUAUUAUGAUUCGGAAGUUACAAAAAUCACAAAAUGAUACAGAUGGGCUGUCAAGAAUCUGGACCAGUUUCGGUUGUUUACUGUUGAGACAAAUGUAACUAUAGAAUUUGGAAAAGUGAUCUAUAGAAAAGUUGUAGACAAUUUUCUAAGCUUUCCAACAGUAUAAGCUGGAACUCAUUUGGAUAAGUAGAACCUGAGAUAUGACAUUUACACUUGGAUAUUUCUGUUCUGUUUGAAAAUCUGGACAGAUCUGGCAUUUCCCAUUUUCAGCCAAGUUAAAGACAGAAUCUGGGAAAAAGUUGUAUACGAAAGUUGUAAAGGAUUUCCUUAGCUUUUCAAAAAUGUAAUAAUCAUCUCCAGAUGAGUUAAUUAGCUCAAGAUAUAACUUUGGGAAGCUACUGCACCUUUGCUGGGACAUUUUCAGGAUGGAUAUUAAGUUUGGUUGUUUUACCUGAGCUUAAAGACAGAACCUAAGGAGAUCUUCUACAGGAAAGUUGCUGGGAAUUUCAUAAGUUUUCGAACGGUAUAAGCCACAACUCUAUUGGAUUCACAGAAUAAGAGUUAUGUCCAUUUUACUGCGCGGGUGUUUUUCAUAUCGCGAGGAAAUUUCAGGAUACCUGUUUGCUCUAUUGCACAUAAGUUCUUUGGAAUGUCAGAGGUUCUCAAUGUUAGUUAACUUGUCUGAAAAAUAUGCAAGCUAACUUUCUUGUGUCCCCUAGUUGACCCUUUUAAGGGGGGUAGCCCAAUUAAAGAACUACAAGGAGAAGAAGUGGUUAAUGACUGGAACAUCUACAAGGACAUCAAGUACUUGGUAUGUUGGUUUGUUUCAAGAUAUCAUUCUAUUUGGAGUGUGCUAAUACCAAUGGAGGUUUAUGUCAUUACUGAUACUCAUGGAUUAAGAGUUGUGUAUGAGGAUCAGAUGACACCAAAGUCUACAGAGUUGUAUGUAUAGUGUGAGAGUGAAGCAACUUAACUGUGAUAAAGGUACCGAUAAUUGGAACUUAGUGGAGAAACUAACCUUGGAUCAAGAGACUCGGUACAAGCAAAUUUAAAAGACUAUGAUGUGUAGCAUCCAAAAAAGAUAGGAGAGCUAGCCUCUAGUGUCCCCCAAUCAACCUCGUUUUAAGGGGGAUAGUACCUUGAUAUCACUAGAUGAUGCAUAUUUAAUCUAUCUUGAAGUGAUAAUUAUCUGCUGAGAUAUCUUAUGGUUAUGAUCAUCUAUCCUUGCUCGUUACUGACGUUGGUCACUUAAUGACAGGGAGUGUAGUGUCCCAUGGAUCAGGUUUGUUCGAAUAUCAAUUUGGUCAAAAGCAAGGAAAACGUUGCUGUAAACCUCAUUAUGCUAGAGUCACUCGACAUUUCUUUGGUUCUUGGCAAUGGAGGGAUAUGUACACACAAAGGAGUGAUCUAUGCUACCCAGUGGAAAAUUUUCUUAACCGCACCGUAAGGGAAAAGAAUUGAGUAUCAAGGAGAUUCACUACUACACGAGGAGGUAAAUCCAUGCUAAGCUAUCAUGUCUCGGAGUUGUAAGUCAAAAAGUUGGUAGUCAAGAUGGACCUUGAUCAAAUACGAAUAAUAGACAUUUUAUGGAAGUUUUGUUUGCAAGUUGUGAAGUUGAAAUAGUGAUCAAGAUCUUUUCCUGUUUCUCUUUUGGAAUCUGUGCUCUUCCGAAUCUCGAGGACGAGAUUCAUUUUAAGGGGGUAGAUUUGUAACACCCUAAAAAAUUGUUUCUUUGAAAAUAGAGCUAAAAUAAUUUAUUUUGUAUUUUCGUACUCAUGAAAAUAUAGGAAAAAUAAUAUUUUUCAUUUAAUUAAAAUUUAUCAUAGGGUGUAGCAACUUGUUGUGCAUUCAUAUUGGAGCAUUAUUUUCAUUGUAUUGUGUGGAUUUGAUUAAAGGUAAGUUAAACUGAUUUUAAAAUGAUUUUUCAAACUUGUUUUUGAAAUGGCCUUGAAACAAAAGAAAAUAAAAAGAAAAAAAAAGGAGACAGCUCCCUGGGUCUGGCCGAGGCCCGCUUCCCUUUUCCCUCUGGCCUGCUUCCCCUCCCCCGCGGCCCGCUCCCCUCUUUGGCCCAGUACGCGCAACCGGCCCAGCUCCUGGCCUACCCCGCGCCCUCUCCUUCUCUCUUUCUCUGACCAGUGGACCCCACCCGACAGCCAGCCUUCUUCAACCCCAAGUCGGAGUCGUGCUGGACUCUCGACCGGGUGUCAAAACCCGAUACGC